rnacentral:rRNA from 1 species
UGGGGAAUAUUGCGCAAUGGGGGAAACCCUGACGCAGCGACGCCGCGUGAGCGAUGAAGGCCUUCGGGUUGUAAAGCUCUGUCUUCCCUGACGAUAAUGACGGUAAGGGAGGAGGAAGCCACGGCUAACUACGUGCCAGCAGCCGCGGUAAUACGUAGGUGGCAAGCGUUGUCCGGAAUUAUUGGGCGUAAAGGGUGCGUAGGCGGCUCUUUAAGUGGGAUGUGAAAUCCCU